rnacentral:rRNA from 1 species
GAUGAACGCUGGCGGCGUGCCUAAUACAUGCAAGUCGAGCGAACGGACGAGAAGCUUGCUUCUCUGAUGUUAGCGGCGGACGGGUGAGUAACACGUGGAUAACCUACCUAUAAGACUGGGAUAACUUCGGGAAACCGUAGCUAAUACCGGAUAAUAUUUUGAACAGCAUGGUUCAAAAGUGAAAGACGGUCUUGCUGUCACUUAUAGAUGGAUCCGCGCUGCAUUAGCUAGUUGGUAAGGUAACGGCUUACCAAGGCAACGAUGCAUAGCCGACCUGAGAGGGUGAUCAGCCACACUGGAACUGAGACACGGUCCAGACUCCUACGGGAGGCAGCAGUAGGGAAUCUUCGGCAAUGGGCGAAAGCCUGACGGAGCAACGCCGCGUGAGUGAUGAAGGUCUUCGGAUCGUAAAACUCUGUUAUUAGGGAAGAACAUAUGUGUAAGUAACUGGGCACAUCUUGACGGUACCUAAUCAGAAAGCCACGGCUAACUACGUG